rnacentral:lncRNA from 1 species
AUGAGUGAUGUUGAGAAAGGCAAAAAGAUUUUUAUUCAGAAGUGUGUCCAGUGGCACACCAUGGAAAAGGAAGGCAAGCAGAGACUGGGCUAAAUCUCCAUGGUCUCUGGGCAGAAGACAGGUCAGGUCAUUGGAUUCUCUUACACAGAUUCCAAUAAGAACAAAGGCAUCACCUGAGGAGAGGAUACACUGAAAGAGUAUUUGGAGAAUCUCAAGAAGUACAUCCCUGGAACAAAAUGAUGAUAUUUUUUGGCACUAAGAAGGCAGAAAGGGCAGACUUGAUCACUUAUCUUGGAAAAAGCUACUAAUGAGUAA